rnacentral:rRNA from 1 species
AGAGUUUGAUCCUGGCUCAGGAUGAACGCUAGCUACAGGCUUAACACAUGCAAGUCGAGGGGCAGCAUGGCCUAUCUUUCGGGAUGGGCCGAUGGCGACCGGCGCACGGGUGAGUAACGCGUAUCCAACCUUCCCUUUACUGGGGUCCAGCCCGUCGAAAGGCGGAUUAAUCCCCCAUGUUCUCCGUCCCGGACAUCUGUGUCGGAGCAAAGAUUUAUCGGUAAAGGAUGGGGAUGCGUCCGAUUAGCUUGUUGGCGGAGUAACGGCCCACCAAGGCGACGAUGCGUAGGGGUUCUGAGAGGAAGGUCCCCCACACUGGUACUGAGACACGGACCAGACUCCUACGGGAGGCAGCAGUGAGGAAUAUUGGUCAAUGGGCGCGAGCCUGAACCAGCCAAGUCGCGUGAGGGAAGACGGUCCUAUGGAUUGUAAACCUCUUUUGUCGGGGAGCAAAAGACGCCACGUGUGGCGUUCCGAGAGUACCCGAAGAAAAAGCAUCGGCUAACUCCGUGCCAGCAGCCGCGGUAAUACGGAGGAUGCGAGCGUUAUCCGGAUUUAUUGGGUUUAAAGGGUGCGCAGGCGGAAGAUCAAGUCAGCGGUAAAAUUGAGAGGCUCAACCUCUUCGAGCCGUUGAAACUGGUUUUCUUGAGUGAGCGAGAAGUAUGCGGAAUGCGUGGUGUAGCGGUGAAAUGCAUAGAUAUCACGCAGAACUCCGAUUGCGAAGGCAGCAUACCGGCGCUCAACUGACGCUUAUGCACGAAAGUGUGGGUAUCGAACAGGAUUAGAUACCCUGGUAGUCCACACAGUAAACGAUGAAUACUAAUUGUUCGGGGAGAAUGAUCCCUGAGUGAUACAGCGAAAGCGUUAAGUAUUCCACCUGGGGAGUACGCCGGCAACGGUGAAACUCAAAGGAAUUGACGAGGGCCCGCACAAGCGGAGGAACAUGUGGUUUAAUUCGAUGAUACGCGAGGAACCUUACCCGGGCUCAAACGACACAGGAAUACUUUUGAAAGGAGGUAGCUCUUCGGAGCCUGUGUCGAGGUGCUGCAUGGUUGUCGUCAGCUCGUGCCGUGAGGUGUCGGCUUAAGUGCCAUAACGAGCGCAACCCCCAUCGCCAGUUACCAGCAAGUCAAGUUGGGGACUCUGGCGAGACUGCCGGCGCAAGCUGUGAGGAAGGCGGGGAUGACGUCAAAUCAGCACGGCCCUUACGUCCGGGGCGACACACGUGUUACAAUGGCAGGUACAGAGAGAAGCAAUGCGGCGACGCAAAGCGGAACUUGAAAGCCUGUCUCAGUUCGGAUUGGAGUCUGCAACUCGACCCCAUGAAGCUGGAUUCGCUAGUAAUCGCGCAUCAGCCAUGGCGCGGUGAAUACGUUCCCGGGCCUUGCACACACCGCCCGUCA